rnacentral:rRNA from 1 species
CGCUGGCGGCGUGCCUAAUACAUGCAAGUAGAACGCUGAAGACUUUAGCUUGCUAAAGUGGAAGAGUUGCGAACGGGUGAGUAACGCGUAGGUAACCUGCCUACUAGCGGGGGAUAACUAUUGGAAACGAUAGCUAAUACCGCAUAACAGCAUUUAACACAUGUUAGAUGCUUGAAAGGAGCAAUUGCUUCACUAGUAGAUGGACCUGCGUUGUAUUAGCUAGUUGGUGAGGUAACGGCUCACCAAGGCGACGAUACAUAGCCGACCUGAGAGGGUGAUCGGCCACACUGGGACUGAGACACGGCCCAGACUCCUACGGGAGGCAGCAGUAGGGAAUCUUCGGCAAUGGGGGCAACCCUGACCGAGCAACGCCGCGUGAGUGAAAAGAAGGUUUUCGGAUCGUAAAGCUCUGUUGUAAGAGAAGAACGUGUGUGAGAGUGGAAAGUUCACACAGCGACGGUAACUUACCAGAAAGGGACGGCUAACUACGUGCCAGCAGCUGC